CCUUCGAUAGCUCAGUUGGUAGAGCGGAGGAGGACUGUAGAUCCUUAGGUCGCUGGUUCGACUCCGGCUCGAAGGA
rnacentral:tRNA from 1 species